GAGUGGAGAGAGGGAGGAGAAAGGAGAGCAGAGAGAGGUAGGAGAGCAGAAAGCGGGAGGGGAGUGGAGAGCGGGAGGAGAUUGGAGAGCGGGAGGAGAGUGGAGAGAGGGAGGAGAGCGGAGAGAAAAGGAACGAGGCAGUCGGCUGAUUCACCACCACCCCAUGCACCCAUCCCUCCUUUCUCUUUAUUGUCUUCUGCUUCAGUGAUGGGGUGGUGGAGGUGUGUGGGAAAGGAUCCCCCCUCCACACACACACACACACACACACACACAGACUGCUGCUCUUCAUCCCUUCCACCUGCCUCCAUCUCUCCUCUUUCUCCCAGUGUCAUCACUACCUCCACCUGUAUCUUAUUCCCUCUCACUCCAUCCAUCCAGCCAUCCUUCUUUUUUUCUCUCCAGCCCCCACGCCCUUCUAACCCACACACUCUGUGUCACCACCGUGGUGAAGAAAAUGAUCAGCCAACAAGCUGGAAGAGGUAGAGGAGAGGAAAAAGAGUGGAGAAAGAGAGGAAGAGUGAGCUCUGUCCAUUCAAAAUACUCCAGACGUUCCAGUUUCCUCUAUGGAUUACCCAGAGCCCCAUGGACGGAUGGAGGAGUGGAGGAGAAAAGAAAAAGACCAAUAGAGAAGAGAGAAGAAAGGAAUUGCACUCCGGACUGCCAGUCCGUGUGACAGCCGGAGUGUUUUAGUGUGAGUGUGUGUACGGCGUAACCAACCCAUUCUGCAGUAGAGCCGCAGAGCACAGGGGGAGCCUGAGUUAUUACAUGUCUUAGUCAGACCACGCCCCAGUUCACCUUCACCUGUUUUUGGAGUCUGCACGGCUUCUGUCGGAACAGGAUGAGAUGCAGGAGAAACGGAGGGAUCAGGAGACUGAGGUGUGAAGGAAGCCUGGAGCGACUUCACCCUCUUCUUCAUUCUCUCAGAGACUCUGGCCACGAUUGUGACGGCAUUCUAAUUUCUACAUCCAGAUCCUUUUCUUCACGCUGUGGUGCGUCUCUCCUCCACCUGCAGCAGCUGUUCAAUCAGCAGCUUCACUGGAGUGCAUAGGUAGAGGUCAAAGCUCAAAACUCAAAACUAACGUUCUUUACAAUCUCCUACACCACGGAAACACACGUGCACACACACACGUGCACACACACACACACAUGAAUUAAAGUCCUGUGUAGGUCUAUAAAUGCCAGUGGGGUGUAGGGACACCUAUCACCUGUUUAUGAUGAAAGUAGUGAAUGUGAUUGUGUGUGCACUGAGACUUCAUUGCAGCUGGACCACAGAGAGUUGCAGGACUGCACCUACCAGUUAAGAUAAGCAUAUGCUGCAGAAUGAAUGCCCUUUACACGCACAUGCACGCAAACACACACACACGCAGGUCUCAUUAGCCUGUGUAAUUAUGCAUGGCACGUCCAGUUGGCCAGUGGAGAAGUAAUUAACCUUUUCCAGCAGGAAACAGCAAUCUGGGCGUCUGACACACUCACAUGCACGCACACACGUCUGGUGUCACGGAAAUAAAGUGUCAAAGACAGCGGCUGGCAUUCAAUGAUAAUCCCCUCACGCAUAUUUCCAUCCAAGGCUUAAAACACUAAUAAUGCCAAAUUACCUCUCCUCUCCCUUUAUCUUCCCUCCUUUCUCUUUCUCCCUCUUCUUGUCCCCAAGUCCUUCUCUGUCUUUCUCCCUCCCUCCCUCCCUCCCUCCCUCCCUCCCUCCC